GUCGGGCCUCACAAUCAGGUGUUGCUGCAACUUUGUUUAAAACAAGCCGUUUCAUAUUUCUGGUCUUGCCCUAUUUAAAUCAAGGAGAAGUUUAAAUCAGACUUGAUGAAGAUAGCUAUGACCACUUUGAGUUUAAAAAUACUUUCCCAGGACAAGGAGCAUUUUGCUAAACUAGCUAUAGAUGCUGUCAUGAGGCUCAAGUGGUGCAUGGAAGGAUCAUCCGCCACGUGAGGAAAGCAAUGCGAUUGAAGCUAUCUCAAAAUUAGAUGAAAAAAGAGUCCUUUUGGGUAAAUAUAUUAAACUAAAAAUUUGUGUUAUUUUGCCUAAUCGGUUCCCUGAAGGCUCUCAACAGAUAUUCUGGCCCAUAUAAAUGCCAGAUGGAGAUGGUUUUUCAUGUCCCAACAUAUUUGUUGACUAGGAUUGCUGUAGUGUAGCGGACAACAUUGAUGUUGGUAAUCUAUGCUGUUGUAGUUCUAUUAGCCCCACCAUUAUGUAUGUGUUUUAUCAAGCUGUCCACCCUGUCCACCCAAUUUGCUACUCAUUUUAAUCCAUGAGCCCAAUAUACUAGUUCAUUUUAAUUAUGGACGUUGAAUCACCACAGUUUUCUAGUGUGGUCCACCUGAGAUUUGGAUCUGCCUCAUUUUUGGACUAUUGUCCUAAAAUGAGCUAGAAAAUGAGUGGAAAUCAUGGAUAAAAAAGAUACAUAAUGGUGGGGCCAAAAUACUUUUCCAGCAGCACAACACCUCUCAAAAGUGUAGGUCGGCUGCUUUCUUUUUAUGAAUUUUUAUUUUUCCAAUUAUCAUUCCUGACCUUUUAGGCUUUAAAUAGAGGAAAAACAUCAACACUAACUUAAUUAGUCAAAAUUCCUUAAUUUGCUUGAGAUGAUAUGUGAAGUAGAAUUUUUUUGGUGGGCCACGUUUUGAUAUUUAUCACCGCCAUCGAUUUUGAUGGCUAAAUUGUUUUCACUGAGAAUAAUCUGCU